UACUUGGUGUACUUUCUCUUGCCAGCAAGAUAGACUGCACUUGCCUGCAGGGCUGGAGGAGGGAGGAGAAUUACUCCUGAUCAUUCUGUCCUGAUUCUGAACCCAGCUGAAACUCCUUCACAAGAAGGGAGUAUCGCUAGUGAGGAGAAAAUGCACUUGCUGCCAUGAGCUCAAAGACAAAUGUCCUGUAUAAAGGAUUCUUGCAUCUGCAGACACUGUAAAGUUUCUAAGAGCUUGAAUUCAAGGGAGUGGAGAUCUUCCAGCCUUUAAAGGAAUUGAUGUUCCCACAGAACCCAACUAGCUGCCUGCUCACAGAAAUGAACACAUCCCACAGACAAAGCUGGGCCUACACGGAGGCAUUUCAUUGAUAUGAUGGCUCAAUAGUAGCACCUGGAGAAAUAUCACAGUGAAACCACUGCCGAUGCUGGGCAUUGCACUGACCUGAUAUCUGAAACGUCAGACAGAUUGCUCUAGAGUCUACCCAAUUUAGCAACAGUUUGUACUUGCUGGUGUUUUGAACAUGAAAAGAGCUUUCAAAGUGAAAGAACCAAUUUGAAAAGAGCUUCAGCAUCGCUGAUGGGCCAGGAGAAAAUGGGACUUUCCCAGUUGUGGAAUGGCAACGCGCUCCAUCGCCUUGAGGGCAGCAAUGAACAAGCUCAAGGUAAACACUAACCAGAAGCUGAUGUGUGUGGUGAGCACUGUGGUACCUAAUCCAGAUGCAAUACCCCAUUCUGAUCAGGAAGGGAUUUGUCUCCAAGCUGUUGAAAAGUCGGUGGAAGAAGCCUCCCAACUGACAGCCUUCCUUGGGGAGAGACGACAUUGGGAGGGAAGGAAAUUCUGACACAUUCAAUGACAUUGAUGAACCUUGAAGAUACUAUGCUAAAUGAAAUAAGCCAGUCAACAAAAGGACAUGUGUUGUAUGAUUCCACUUAUAUGAAGAUAUGAAGUACCUGGAGCGGUGAAAUUAUAUAGCUAGAAAAUGGAAUGGUGGUUGCCAAAGGCUGUGGGGAAGGGAGAACAGGGACUUAGUGUCUAAUGGGGAUAGAGUGUUAACUGGGGAAGAUGAAAAAGUUCUGGAGAUGGAUCGUGUUGAUGGUUGCACAACAAUGUGAAUGUACUUAAUGUCAUAGAACUGUGCCCUUAAAAAUUGUCAAAAUGGUAAAUUUUAUGUGAUGUAUAUUUUACCUCAAUAAAGAAGCAUUAAAGUAAUCACGAGGAAGAAAUCAGAAAUGUGUUGGACUUCCUGACGCUUAUUUUAUAUUGUGGUAUUAUUUUCACAUAUUUUCUUUAUCCAUUCAUCCAUUGUUGGACAUUUGGGUUGUUUCUAGCUCCCAUAUUAUGAGUAA